UGCUUUAAUGUUUAAUCAGGGAGUUUGCUUUAAAAGGCUUUUAUUUUGUACAAAGUGGGACAAAGUCACACUUGUGGUGUUCCCGGGCAAAAAUGACCCGGCCAUUCAAAGUGAAUGGGAAAGAAUGAUAGUAAUAGAAACUAUUAGUGUUCAGGAGCAUGUUGAUCAUGUUCACGUUCACAUAUGUACAAGGCCUUGGACCUGUUCAUGUGUAGAUGCAUGCAUACUCACGCUAACACACACACACACGCAUACAAACUAUUGAGAGUAUUAGAAAGCUUUCUAUUUCAUCCUACCCUGAACUGCAUCCGAUAUAAUUUCAGCAAUUUGAUAGUAUAACUCUCUCUCUCUCUCUCUCUCUCUCUCUCUGUGCGCAUGCGUGAGCGUUUGUUGGGCGAGCGAGUGGGAAGCGUGGUGAGCGUGUGGACUCUCUUUCUUUUUUUGGCCGCUGUGCCAAAAAUAGGUUUUCUUUUUUUGCUAUCUUUUAACUUUAUUACUUGUGGUAUACUGUUGAAAAGUUUUAAGAUAGUGGUUUGUUGUCUGUCUGCCAGUUUUUAUAACUGGCAGGAUGACUUCAGGUGCGAGGACGCUAGAGUUCCUCACACGGCGUCAUGCGGUGAAGAUAAGUUUGAACGCGAGUGUGGAAGAGUGUAGUUUAGCUGUAGGAGAGGUGGUUGGCUGUGAAAAUGUUCUGUCAGCAUCGAGAAUGAACAACGCGGUUGUUGUUUUUUUGAAAACCAUUGAAUUAGCAAACUUGUUGGUUGAAAGUGGCGUUGUUAUUGACAAUGUUUUUGUUCCAGUGUUACCGUUGUCUACUCCGUCUAAAAAAGUGAUUCUAUCAAACGUGCCGCCUUUCAUAAAAACUGAGGUGCUGGUUAAAUUGUUGGAGAGAUAUGGCAGAUUGGUUUCCCCAAUCAAAAUGAUCCAGAUUGGUUGUAAAUCGACGUUGCUGAAACACGUAGUGUCUUUCAGACGUUUUGUGUACAUGGUAUUAAAGGACAAUAAAGAGGAAUUGGAUUUGACGUUCAAUUUCAAUCAUGAUGACUUUAACUAUGUAGUGUAUGCUACGACUAAUAGCAUGAAAUGCCUUAGUUGUGGUGAAACAGGACAUCUCGUGAGGGUUUGUCCAAAAAAAGAAGAGAAAUCAAAGGAAAAAGUUUCAUCAGUCUCGGUUAAAAAAGUUGGUGAGGAAGAGGUGGUAGUACAAGUUGUUAGGAGUGAGGUGCCUACAACAGUGGAUGUAGUUGAGGAGAACACUGUACAAAAGCCUGUCGAUGCAAACUCAGUAGGUUUAUUAGGUGAUGCUGCAGCUUUGAAGAAAAAGGGGAAAGAGCGAGUGGUAGUGGCAGAUAUAGAAGAAGCUUCUGUCUCUGAUGAAAGGCGUCAGUUAAUUGAUGGUUUAGGUAUGCAGAGUUCGGUAAUUAAUCAAGAUAUGGAGCUGGAAGGGGAUCGGUGUUCUGGGGGAGAACAAGAUGAAUGUGUUUUUAAAACACCACAAAAGAGGAGAAUGAAACAGAGCCACUACAGUAAAUCAAAAAAAUUGGAAAAUAGCCAAACUGAUACUGAGAGUGACACUGACCUUUCAGAGUGUAGUGUUACUCUUGAUCAAACAAAGGAUGAUUCCUCAGAACAGUCUUACAGUGUAGAUGAUGUUAAGCUCUUUUUGAGAGUGACAAAGAAUGCAAGAAAUGUGCGCAUUACAGAGUACUUUCCUGAUUUGGAGCAAUUUGUAGAAAAAGCAAAGGGUUUUAAGAGUGAAGGUCUUUUUUCUGAUCAAGAGGUUUACAGACUGAAAAAAAU
ensembl:lncRNA